rnacentral:rRNA from 1 species
AACAAACGCUGGCGGCAUGCCUAACACAUGCAAGUCGAACGAGACCUUCGGGUCUAGCGGCGCACGGGUGCGUAACGCGUGGGAAUCUGCCCGUGGGUUCGGAAUAACAGUUAGAAAUGACUGCUAAUACCGGAUGAUGACGUAAGUCCAAAGAUUUAUCGCCCAAGGAUGAGCCCGCGUAGGAUUAGCUUGUUGGUGAGGUAAAAGCUCACCAAGGCGACGAUCCUUAGCUGGUCUGAGAGGAUGAUCAGCCACACGGGGACUGAGACACGGCCCAGACUCCUACGGGAGGCAGCAGUGGGGAAUAUUGGACAAUGGGCGAAAGCCUGAUCCAGCAAUGCCGCGUGAGUGAUGAAGGUCUUAGGAUUGUAAAAUCCUUUCACCGGUGAAGAUAAUGACUGUAGCCGGAGAAGAAGCCCCGGCUAACUUCGUGCCAGCCGCCGCUGUAACAC